UAAAGUGGGGCAAAAGUUCGAGUGGGGCAAGAGUUUCUUUUGAAGUUUUUGAGCUCAAUUCAAAUUAUUUCUUUCGGGUGUCAAGAUUGUUCGAAGCCUUUUAGAAAAAGAGUCUUCCACUCCAAAAAUUUUGGAAAUUGAUCAAUAUUUCGAAAAGUUAAAUGUUAAAUGUUGGUUUUUGAUCAAAAAAUUGUAACAUGUCAUGGUCCUUCCAACGCAUGGAAUGGAAUUGUAAUGAAAUCGAAUUCGAUAUUUUAUUUUGGGGCGUAACUAGGUAUAUAUUGAAGAUGCUUUAGCAUGUAUAACUUUUUGCAAAAAAGAUUUGGAAAUCAUAUUUUACACAUAGCGGGGCAAAAGUUCGAAUUGUGGGGCAAAAGUUCGAGUCAUGUGGCAACUUUAGGUAAAAACCUAAAAUUGUGCAAAAUGUCCAUAUGAUCUCUAAGAAUGAUGGAAUUAGUAAGAAAAUUCGAUCAAAGUUGAAAAAAAUAUUCGAACUUUUGCCCCAGUAGUGGGGCAAGAGUUCGAAUAAGACACAGACAUACAAAAAGUGUUGUAACUCAAAACUCAUAAGACAUUUGGCAUUACUUUGUUCAGCAAAAUUUUAGCUCAUGGAUGGUAGAAUCACCACACGGUAUUCAUUUAUUUUUAUCUGCUUCGAUUUUUUGAAAAAAGUUGAAUUUUCAACUAGGGUCGAACUUUUGCCCCACCUUACUCUA